CAGGGAGCAGUCCAUGCAAAAUCUUCACUGAGCCUUGCAGAUUAAGAGUACUCUGUGUGCACGAAAUUGGCGAAGGACAAAGCUCAUCAGAUUUCUCCAUUGGGAUGCUGUGAUCCUGUUUCUCUUGCAGAAACCCCUGAAAGACAGGUUGGAACCAACAUGGUGGAAGUGUCAAGGCCAAACCCCUACAUCCUGACGUUGGGAGAUAAUGACCAGCGCUGCGCUCAGGCAUUCGUCAUUCUGGUGGGACAUGCUCUGGAGCAAUACACACUACUUGGGGCGGUUGAUGUGUGCUUCAAGGCAUUUUAUAUUUUUGACAUUAACUAUCCAAAGCAGUGUGCUCCUGUAUAGGACUUUUUGUAAUGUUGCUAUGAAAUAGCGAGGCCUACUUGAAGAGUCAUAGACAGUGUUUAUAUGUUAAAACGGAACCAGGGCUGGAUAGUUUUGUUCUGCAAAAAGGAUAUCUAAUGUCACAGAGAGAUCCUGCUCUGUAGAAGCUGCCUCAGCCUAUUUGUGUUAUUACUCCAUUCUGCCCUUGUGAGUAAUAGUAUGGUAAUG